rnacentral:rRNA from 1 species
UACGUAGGGUGCAAGCGUUGUCCGGAAUUAUUGGGCGUAAAGAGCUCGUAGGCGGUUUGUCGCGUCGAAUGUGAAAACCCGGGGCUCAACCCCGGGCCUGCAUUCGAUAUGGGCAGGCUAGAGUUCGGUAGGGGAGAUCGGAAUUCCUGGUGUAGCGGUGAAAUGCGCAGAUAUCAGGAGGAACACCGGUGGCGAAGGCGGAUCUCUGGGCCGAUACUGACGCUGAGGAGCGAAAGCGUGGGGAGCGAACAGG